UACGGGGGGGGCAAGCGUUGUUCGGAAUUACUGGGCGUAAAGGGCGCGUAGGCGGCCUGCUAAGUCGGACGUGAAAUCCCUCGGCUCAACCUGGGAACUGCGUCCGAUACUGGAUGGCUUGAAUCCGGGAGAGGGAUGCAGAAUUCCAGGUGUAGCGGUGAAAUGCGUAGAUAUCUGGAGGAAUACCGGUGGCGAAGGCGGCAUCCUGGACCGGCAUUGACGCUGAGGAGCGAAAGCCAGGGGAGCAAACGGG
rnacentral:rRNA from 1 species